UCCUCUUCUUCGGCGGGGGGAAGGUUCCAGAAUGGAGUGGCGCACGUACGGGGCGCGUGACGCGGCGCGGGCAGCAGGCUGCACCCCUGAGAAUGGAACACCCGCUGUGCUCCCUGGCAAGCCGCCCUGCCCCUCCCUGCCCGGAGGAUCUCCUCCGCAGCAGGGCUUGUAUGUUCCACUGGGGGAACCCCUGCUCCCCUCCCGGCGGGCGGCGAAGAGGGGCUGCCCCAGGAGCUUGCCUGCGAGCGGUCAGCGCCUGCGUGUCGGCAGGCGGGAGAGCGCCGAGCGGCGCGUCCCUGGGCUGGUCAGGCUCGGGAUCCCGCGGCACUGCGCUCCCCUGCACAACGCCGAGCGGUCCCCGAGGAUUUAUCCGUGGCCCUGGCGUUGCCGCCCCGCAGGCAGGAGUGCGCGUUGCAGAGACUGCGGAGCCAUGGGGCAGGCGCUGGGGGGCCGCCGGAGUGGGAGUGGGUGCGGAUGCAGUGGACACCCCCUAGGGUGGGGCUGUACGGCAGUUAAGCGCCUGCGUCUGGGCUGCGCCAGCGGGCUGGGGCUAAGGGGCUCUUUAGUUGUGGUGUAGAUGCUCCGGGGUCUAUUCCCAAAAUUAAACAGCGCUUUAGCCUGGGGAUCACUAGUUCAAGUCAGCGGGCACGGGAGUUUGUCCCGUCUGCUGGGUCAGACCUGUGGCUUAAUCAGGCUGGGAUCUUGUUCCUUUUGAAACUUCCAGGGGGCUUGUUUUUCUGUUUGUUUUAGUCAUUACUGCCUGACGGUGAAUUACAUGCAGUAGAACCUCAGUGUUAUAAACUGACCAAUCACACAUCUCAUUUAGAACGAGAAGUCUGCUAUCAGGCAGCAGCAGAGCCCGGGCCCUGGGCGGGGAUACAGUACCCUACUGUGUUAAACAUACUAAAAAAAUACGGGGAAAGGUCAAAAUUUGACAAGGUUCUUACACUUGAGUUCAUCACCAUAGCAUCUGAGCACCCUGUAACAAGACAUCUUGAAGGCAUCUGUGCUCCAACCUCUGGCAUCUCAUUGACGACAUUAUCAUCAGAAGAAGAGACAGACAGGAUGUUUGAGUGACAAAGGCCAUGAGAAGUGCAGAAUGCUGGGCUGAUCACAGGCUUAUAGUCUCCAAGCUGAAUAUCCAGCUACAUCCUAGUAGGCAACCACAAGGUAAAAAGGCAUCCAAAAAGCUUAAUGUCUCCUCCAAACUGAAACAGGAGAAUGUGAAACAGGCUUUCCUUGAACUGUGCAACCAACUUGUAACAAUUGAUGCAAACUCUAAUAACAAGGAAAAUUGGGCAUCCUUUAGAGAUUCUGUGUACUUGGCUGCAUCCAAUACCUUUGAUUCCAUCACAUGUAAACAUCAAGCUUGGCUUGAUAAAAAUGAUACUGACGUAGUGAGACUGUUGAAUGAGAAACAUUUGGCUCCGUAAGGCCUGUUUAGGAGAUGCACUUCAACAUCUAAGAAGGUAGCCUAACAACAUCAAGAUGACUGUCCAGUGUAAACUUAGAGAGAUCUAAAACUCAUUCUGAGCAGCAAGGCAGAUGAGAUUCAAUCCUACACAGACAGGAAUGACAUGAAAUACUUCUGUGGUGCUCUGAGGACAAUUUAUAGGCCAUGGUCAUCGGGAACAUCUCCAAUACUGAAAGCUGAUGGCACCACACUACUCACUGGUAAAGAAAAGAUACUGCAAAAGUGGGCAGAACACUUUAAACACAUCCUCAAUAAAGAAUAAUCUAUUAGUGAGGAGGCAAUUGAUUGACUGCCCAGAUCAGUGUCAACAUAUUUCUUGCUCAUCUCCCAAUGCCGAUUGAAACUGUGAAAGUGAUUGAGCAGAUGCUAUACCAGCAGAAGUCUAAAAGGCCAGAGGCUUACACAUGACUCUGAAAUUGAAUCUACAUUGAUUGGAAAAAAUCAGUCAAAGAACUUUAUCCCAGGAGUACAAGGAUGCAUCCAUCAUCCACUUGUAGGAUUGUCAGUUGUCUUUCUGUUUAUACAACUACUAUUGGGGCAUCUCACUGUUAGUAGCCAGCAAAAUUCUCAUCAGAAUUCUGCUGAAUUGCCUUGUGCAAUGCACUGAACAAGUGCUCCUGCCUGAAAGUCAGCAUGGCUUCAGGAAAGGAUGCAGGACUAUAGAUAUGGUAUUUUUAGCUCGUCAACUUCAGGAGAGAUGCCAGGAACAGAACUCCAACCUGUAUGACUUUCGUUGACCUGACAAAAGCACUUGAUACAGUCAGUUGGGAGGGCCUUUGGAAGAUCAUGGCAAAACUUGAUUGCCCAGAGAAAUUCAUUGCAAUGGUUCGGCAAUUCCAUGAUGGCAUUCUCUCUCGCAUUGUGGACGACGGUGAGUCAUCUGAACCAUUCCCAGUCAUCAAUGCAGUCCAGUAGGGCUGCAUGUUGGCCUCAACUGUUUUCAGUAUGAUGCUUUCUGCCACGCUUACAGAUGCCUUUCAUCACUGUGACACUAGGAUUGGCAUCAGAUACCAGACUAAUGGCAAGCUAUUCAAUUUGAGGAGACUACAGGCAAAGACAAAUGUAAAGGAAGUGACUGUUUGUGAUCUUCUGUUUGCUGAUGACUGUUUCGUGAAUGCCAAAUCUGAGUCCGACCUGCAGUGGAGCACGGACUAUUUCUCUUCAGCUUGUGACAACUUUGGUCUCACAAUUAUCAGGAAGCCAGAAGUGAUGUAUUGGCCUGUACCAGGAAAGCCUUAUGUAGAGCCUACUAUCAAGGUGACUGGCCAAACCCUUCAGACAGUGGAUAAGUUCACCUAUCUCAGCAGUACACUGUCAUGUGCAGUUCACAACAAUGAUGAAACCAGUGCCAGAAUUGCCAGAGCAAGUGUGACCUUUGGCAGACUAUGUGCAAUUGUGUGGGAGCGUAGAGGCAAUAGUCAACAAACAAAUCUGAAAGUCUACAAAGACCUUGCAUUGCCAACUCUGAUGUAAAACCUGGAUGGUGUACAGAUGCCAGUCUGUGAAGCUGAAUCACUUUCACAUGGUUUGUUUGAAGAAACUGAGGAUAAGACAGCAAGACAAAGCUCUAAAUACGGAGGUUCUCAUGUGGACAGGCAUUCCAAGUAUCCAUACUGUGAUGAAAUCACAGAUGAGAUGGUGAGAUCAUGUCACCAGAAUGUCAGAUGAGUGACUGCCAAAGAUCUUUUACAGCAAGCUAAAGGAGGGAAAUCGCUUUCAGGGAGGCAAGAAGAAACAUUUCAGGGACUCCCUCAGGUUAUCCUUGGAGCAUUUCAACAUUGACCCAGAGCUUUGGGAAGAUCUCGCUCAUGAUUGUUCUACCUGACAAAGCCUCAUCCAUACUGGAGCUACUCUGUGAGUGGAGGAGACCAGCUGAGGCAGAGCAGAAGCACAAGCAGUGUGAAUCUCACAGCACCAGCAUGUCACUGUUAAUCAAGUGACCCAUAGCGGCAUCUCUUGUUCAGUGUCCUGCAGACAGUUCAAAGCUCAAAUUGGCCUGAUCAGCCACUCGCAUGUUCACAGAAACCAAACCAACCAGUGAUGUCAUGGUCAUAGUCAAACUCGAAGGACAAACAGUCUGAGCACCUUUCAGUAGUGCAUUAAUCAGUAGUUCUCAAACUUUUUAUU